AUACCAAUCACAUGGGGGUCUGGUUAAAAUGCAGAUUCCGACUUGGUGGGUCCUAAAGAGCCCUGAGAUUCUGCAUUUCUAACAAGCUCCUAGGUGGUGCCGAU
rnacentral:pre_miRNA from 1 species